GCCCGGCUGGCCUAAUGGUAAGGCAUCAGACUUCUACGAUUUAAUGUUGAAUUCGUCGUCGACAUCUGAGGAUUGUGGGUUCGAUCCCCACGUCGGGUG